ensembl:rRNA 5S_rRNA 5S ribosomal RNA
GCUUACGGCCAUCCCACCCUGAGAACGCCCGAUCUCGUCUGAUCUCGGAAGCUAAGCAGGGUCGGGCCUGGUUAGUACUUGGAUGGGAGACCGCCUGGGAAUACCAGGUGCUGUAAGCU